GUCAGCCGCCGCGGUAACACCGGCAGCUCUAGUGGUAGCUGUUUUAUUGGGCCUAAAGCGUUCGUAGCCGGUUUGAUAAGUCACUGGUGAAAUCCUGUAGCUUAACUGUGGGAAUUGCUGGUGAUACUGUUGAACUUGAGGUCGGGAGAGGUUAGCGGUACUCCCAGGGUAGAGGUGAAAUUCUGUAAUCCUGGGAGGACCACCUGUGGCGAAGGCGGCUAACUGGAACGAACCUGACGGUGAGGGACGAAAGCUAGGGGCGCGAACCGGAUUAGAUACCCGGGUAGUCCUAGCCGUAAACGAUGCGGACUUGGUGUUGGGAUGGCUUUGAGCCGCUCCGGUGCCGAAGGGAAGCUGUUAAGUCCGCCGCCUGGGAAGUACGGUCGCAAGACUGAACUUAAAGGAAUUGGCGGGGGAGCACCACAACGCGUGGAGCCUGCGGUUUAAUUGGAUUCAACGCCGGACAUCUCACCAGGAGCGACAGCUGUAUGAUUACCAGGCUGAUGACCUUGUUUGACUAGCUGAGUGGUGGUGCAUGG
rnacentral:rRNA from 1 species